rnacentral:rRNA from 1 species
GAUGAACGCUAGCGGCAGGCUUAACACAUGCAAGUCGAGGGGUAACAUAGAAAAGCUUGCUUUUCUGAUGACGACCGGCGCACGGGUGCGUAACGCGUAUACAACCUACCUUUUAGCGGGGAAUAGCCCAGGGAAACUUGGAUUAAUGCCCCAUAGUAUAUAGACUUCUCCUGAAGUUUAUAUUAAACAUUUAUGGCUAUUAGAUGGGUAUGCGUCCUAUUAGUUAGUUGGUAAGGUAACGGCUUACCAAGGCAGCGAUAGGUAGGGGUCCUGAGAGGGAGAUCCCCACACUGGUACUGAGACACGGACCAGACUCCUACGGGAGGCAGCAGUGAGGAAUAUUGGACAAUGGGCGAGAGCCUGAUCCAGCCACGCCGCGUGCAGGAAGACUGCCCUAUGGGUUGUAAACUGCUUUUACAGAGGAAGAACCACCCCCACGUGUGGGGGUUUGACGGUACUCUGCGAAUAAGGAUCGGCUAACUCCGUG